rnacentral:rRNA from 1 species
UACAGAGGGUGCAAGCGUUAUCCGGAUUCACUGGGUUUAAAGGGUGCGUAGGUGGGCAGGUAAGUCAGUGGUGAAAUCUCCGGGCUUAACUCGGAAACUGCCAUUGAUACUAUCUGUCUUGAAUACCGUGGAGGUCAGCGGAAUAUGUCAUGUAGCGGUGAAAUGCUUAGAUAUGACAUAGAACACCAAUUGCGAAGGCAGCUGGCUACACGAAUAUUGACACUGAUGCACGAAAGCGUGGGGAUCAAACAGG